GGAAAGUUGUUUAAACUAAGUCAUGAAAGCAAACUCUAGUAUGUAAACAAACAUUUCUUGUAUGUGCUGCUGCGUGCGUGUUCAAAAUUUUACUUUGAUGAAGGGGUCCCUAUUAUGACAUUCUUCAGUGACUCGACCUUGUGCUCCGUUGCCACCCUGCACUAGUCCAGACAUGUUUUUAUGUGCACCUUACAUGUGUUCACAAUAUGACAGUUUUAUUGUGCCAAUCAAUGCUAUAAGUUAACACACUACUCAUUUUGCAGUGGUGAGACCUUGACCCUAUAGCAGUGUCAACAUAAUGGCAGGGAAAUGCAGGGAUCCCGCAGCCAUGGCUACAGCAGUACAGGGUGUAAUCUGGAUGUCAUGUCAGACCUGAAGCCUGCAGCUUCAGAUUGUGCGCUUGACUGUCAAGCCUUGUGAAGGAGAGGAUGGAGGCUUUUAUUUCCCCUUACCACCCGGAUGCGUCACAUCAUAUGCCUACGGUGAAAUACGAGAGAACUAGCCUGCUGCAAGCAAGAGCCCUCCAUGUACAGCUCGAAUCGAU